rnacentral:rRNA from 1 species
GACGAACCGUGCGAACGUUAUUCGGAAUCACUGGGCUUAAAGCGCGUGUAGGCGGGAGGGUACGUCCGUCGUUGAAAGCCCCCGGCUCAACCGGGGAACGGGCGCGGAUACGACCUUCCUGGAGGGGCGUAGGGGGACCUGGAACUUCCGGUGGAGCGGUGAAAUGCGUUGAGAUCGGAAGGAACGCCCGUGGCGAAAGCGAGGUCCUGGACGCCUACUGACGCUGAGACGCGAAAGCCAGGGGAGCGAACGGG